rnacentral:rRNA from 1 species
UACGGGGGGGGCAAGCGUUGUUCGGAAUUACUGGGCGUAAAGGGUUUGUAGGUGGCCCGCUAAGUCACACGUGAAAUCCCUCAGCUUAACUGGGGAACUGCGUGUGAGACUGGCAGGCUCGAGGGCAGGAGAGGAACGCGGAAUUCCAGGUGUAGCGGUGAAAUGCGUAGAUAUCUGGAGGAACACCUGUGGUGUAGACAGCUUACUGGACCACUUCUGACGCUGAGACACGAAGGCGUGGGUAGCAAACAGG